UACGUAGGGUGCGAGCGUUGUCCGGAAUUAUUGGGCGUAAAGAGCUUGUAGGCGGUUUGUCGCGUCUGCCGUGAAAAUUCGAGGCUCAACCUCGAACUUGCGGUGGGUACGGGCAGACUAGAGUGUGGUAGGGGAGACUGGAAUUCCUGGUGUAGCGGUGAAAUGCGCAGAUAUCAGGAGGAACACCGAUGGCGAAGGCAGGUCUCUGGGCCAUUACUGACACUGAGAAGCGAAAGCAUGGGGGAGCGAACAGG
rnacentral:rRNA from 1 species